AUGAAUUCUAACGAGCUACUUAUAAAACUUGAUGAGGAUAAGCUAUUUUCAGUCCGGUAUGACAAUAUUAAUAUUGAUGAUGUAAGGAUUGGCGAAAAGCAGUUAGCAACCGAGUUCCAUUAUGUUUGCGAUAGCCAGCCAAACGCUUUGGUGAGUGAGAAUUGGACACAUCUCCAGUGGUGUCCACUUUUUGGCUUGACUCUUAGCCCCGAUGAAGGAGAGGAUUGGCAUCGCCUAGAUAUUAUUCUUAGGAGUACCACACUAAUCAAUAAUGCAGAUUCUUUCCAUUGGAAGUUGGAAAAAUCGGGAAAGUUCUUAACUUUCUAA
rnacentral:rRNA from 1 species